UUUUAAUAAUGUUUCAUUACCUUGUUUAUGUCUCUUACAGGAAAACAUAUGGGGUGUGGUGGUAGGAUUUCUGCUUCAAACAUCUUGGGCCCAGAGACUCAUUCUGUAAUCUGAGGACCAAACUAGAUGUUACCUUUGCAAAUACUUGGCCUCAAACUCAUGUUUGUCAGUACAAGCAUGGAGUGGGCGGUUGCAGGUGGUUGCAAGGACAGGUCAGCCAGCAGGUGGAGCAGAUGCAUAACUCCUGAACAGCCCACAGUUUCUCCUGCACAAUUUCUGUGGACUCUCUCUUCAGCCAAACACAUUUUCUGACACAAAGCUAGAUGCGAGCAGAACUUGCUGGGGAGAAUCAGCAAGCACAUAUCUGCCUGCCAAGUCUUCCCUGCAAAGUUAGCAUUACGAUGGAAAAACUGCCCUCUUGUUUCCCUCUCAGUGUCCAGUUUGGCCACAAAACUUCUUCAUUUGCCAACUUCUGUUUUCUGUAUUUUCCACCUCAUAUUGUAUUUCAUAUCAACCUUGUUGAUACUGGCCUGAUCAGUAUCAUCUUUGAUAUGCAGAGCACAGGAUGUCAGAGUUGAAGUCAGGAUCCAGUUAACCAUUUUGAAAACAUUGUGUGUGACAUGGUGGCAUAAAAGCAUAUGCUUAAAGUCUCGUCAACUGAAAUCUAUGGUACUUUAAAAUGUUUAGCUUUGGCUUUAUUAUUCUGCAGCUUUUCACAGAAUUGUGGUUUUUCCUUUCUCCUUCACAAUAACUGUUAAAAGGUGUAUUAAAAGGGGAAAUUAUUACUUAGAUUCCAAAUGCAAAAAUAAAAUAAGACAGGCAUGCCCUCUUUCAAAUACCUAAUUAUUAAACUAGUGUAAAAAUAUUUGGCCAAAAAUCAUGGAACUGUUAUUGUCAAUAUGAGAGUAAACAUUUGGCUGAAUUUUACACUGAAAUUUCACAGGAAAUUUUUUAUAGCCUUAUUUUGAGAAGUUUAUUUCCAGUUCCAGAUAUUUAUUUCUUGGUUUAUUUUAGAAGUCAGUGUUUGAUCAGCUGAAGUGGAGUAAGUAAGUAAACAAUAGCUCUUUCAGGGGCAGCAGAAAGUCUUGUGGUGCGUUAAAGAGUGACUUAUGAAUCAAUUAGGGCAUAAGCUUGUGUAGGUUGUUUGCAGAAAGCAGGCUAUGGCCCAGAAAAGCUUCUCCUUUAAUAUAUUUGUUGGUCUUCUUUAAGAUGACAUAAGACUUUUCGUUACAUUUUCUGAUUAACACUCAUUCAGGGAUUUAUCUGUUAAGCUGCAUGUGUCAGUCUUACGUGCUAUAAAAUAUCUGACGUUUGCCAUCUGUUAGAAAGAAAAGUUUAACUGUAAAGAAGCAUUGGGAGGUGUAAGGAAGGUAGCCUUGUGGUGUCUAGAAAUAUUGACUUGAAUCAUACAUUAAAGCUUGUACCUGCACAGCUGGAACUUUGACAGCCAAAAUGCUUUCAGUGUAAAAUACAGGUCUCCUGAUAGAACCAUAGCUCUGUUACUAGCAGUUUUCUGUGAUGAUUCACUUGGUGGUGCUAUUUUGGAUGUACAGACGACCUGUUUGCAACCGUGGAGAAGUGCCACCAAUGUAAUAUUUGUAGGCACGUGGUUAAUGGUCCUCUGGUCUUCCGUAAUUAGAGCUUUCAUUAUGCUAGAUCUUCUAGUUCAGCCAUAACCAACAGGGCUUAUGGCCUAGUCACAUGAACCUCCGCCAUUGUCCUGAAACAUUAGGUUGCUAAUCUGGCACCCAUGGGUGCGCAUAUGGCCAGAGAAGAGCUUCCUAGCACCCACAGGGUCCUGUCUCAAUUCUUCCCCCUGCUGAAAUUAGGCUGGAAAUAAGCCUAAACCUAAUGGGAUAAUGAAAGUCUAACUUUUGCAAGGAGGUGCUCUUCCCAGAGAUUGCUGGGGAAGGAAGGUUAGCCCUAGCUUCUCUCUCCAGGAAAAUUGCCACCACCAUUAGAUUUUGGAGGUUGGGAGCAAAAACAAUUCCAUCAAAUAUAAUUGCUGGCGAGGAGGGAGGGUGUUAGUGACUGCGCAUAUUCAUACACGGUUGUGGUACCCACACAACACAGUUUCUCCAUUUUGUACUUUUGCCCAUAGACCUAAAAAUGGUUGGCAACCCCUUCACCUAGUGUAUAGGAUUUAUCACCAGUGUUUAGAUUUUAGCAGUGCAUGGACUAUAGCACCAAUGCAAGGGGACAACUCAAGUGUAAGCUCUAGAAACAUUUCCUGUACUUCAACCGUCUUCAGAAUGAUUCUUUAGCAUAGCAGGCCAGAUAAAUUCUGAGCUUUUGUAUAAAAUCUAAGGGCGGGGAAUGCUAAUAUUAAGAAGCUUUACUUUGUAAAGUUGAGAAUUGCUUUGAAAAGUGUUGUAGUAAUAUAUUUAAAAUAAAGUCCAGCUUUAUUUUUGGCUUUAAAACGA